rnacentral:rRNA from 1 species
UACCAGCACCCCGAGUGGUCGGGACGAUUAUUGGGCCUAAAGCAUCCGUAGCCGGUCCUGCAAGUCUUCCGUUAAAUCCAGCUGCUCAACAGAUGGGCUGCGGGGGAUACUACAGGGCUAGGAGGCGGGAGAGGCAAGCGGUACUUUAUGGGUAGGGGUAAAAUCCGUUGAUCCAUAGAAGACCACCAGUGGCGAAGGCGGCUUGCCAGAACGCGCUCGACGGUGAGGGAUGAAA